AGAGUUUGAUCCUGGCUCAGGGAUGAACGCUGGCGGCGUGCCUAACACAUGCAAGUCGAACGAAGCACGUCCCUCGAGGCCUUCGGGCGAGGGGGCAUGACUUAGUGGCGACGGGUGAGUAACGCGUGGGUAACCUGCCCUAUACUGGGGAUAACAGCUAGAAAUGGCUGCUAAUACCGCAUGAGCGCACAGUCCCGCAUGGGACAGUGCGGAAACUCCGGUGGUAUAGGAUGGACCCGCGUCCGAUCAGCUGGUUGUGGGGUAACGGCCCACCAAGGCGACGAUCGGUAGCCGACCUGAGAGGGUGACCGGCCACAUUGGGACUGAGACACGGCCCAAACUCCUACGGGAGGCAGCAGUGGGGGAUAUUGCACAAUGAGGGGAACCCUGAUGCAGCGACGCCGCGUGAGUGAAGGAGUACUCCGGUAUGUAAAGCUCUAUCAGCAGGGAAGAAGCAAGACGGUACCUGACCAAGGAGCCCCGGCUAACUACGUG
rnacentral:rRNA from 1 species